CAUUACAGCCCUGGGGCUGUGCCACAGGGGUCUGUGUUUCCCAGGGUCCCUCUGACUGUGACUCUAAAUUGGCAGCUGGGCUUAAUUCCACACAGUCCUACAAAGCCAUGUGAGGCAAAUAUUUCAUUCUCCUGGGAUUCAUGGGUAUUCUUUUAAAGGAAAUGUUUAAAAUGAAUCGUAGAAUCAUUUUGGUUGGAGAAGUCCUCCAAGAUCAUUGAGUGCAACCCUUGACUUCCUCAGUUUUUUCUCAGCUUAAACUGAUGACUCCUGUGGUGUGUGACACACCAUGCAGGCUGAAGGCCAACUGAAGGCACGUCCAGAAAGCUGCUGGAAGCAGGGCCAGGCGGGCACGGUGGUCUGAGCAGAGCUGGGUGCGCUGUGCAGGCUGGGAAGCAGCGUGAUUAAUGUAGGAGACACUCACAUGGCAGUCAAGCCAGAGGGAUGCUGCCAAGCUGGGAGGAGAAAGUAAAUCACUUUGGAAGGCACGAUAACUUUUGGGGAACAACUGUAUUUCACAAGGAGCACCACUGACCCUGGAGAUGUCACGUCUUGCCUUCAAAACGGGCAAAUCCCAGAGAAGGAUCUGGCUACCUGUAUGCAGAGCAUCGGGGCAAGACAUGGACAUUCACUGGUCCUUGCUGUAACAUCUCCCCAGAUUUACAGAGCAAAAGUGGAAGGACAUUCUUUUCCCCAGGGCUGUUGAACCAAAAUAAUCUGAUUUAACAAUAACUUGGAGUGGCCUGUCUUGAUAAGAGAUUUGAGACACUGCUCAAAAGUGAGCCUGAGAAGGUUGGGAAAGAAAGAAAUAAUGAAGAAGAUGGUUUGGAUCUGAGCAGAAGAUGACCUAGUCCUGCGUGAUCUACACAUCUGACCAUAUGAUGGCAGACAGGUAGGUCCCAAACCAUGCUGCCCUUGCUGGGCUUGGCACAGGUGGGGGAAUGGAGACAUUUGCUGGGGCAAGUCCUUGAGAAAAUAGCCUUGUUUCUGGAGAAGAAGGAUCACUUAUGGGAUUUCCAUGACUGGUAUAUGAGAAGCUCCCAGUGCUGCACCAAUAAACCCAUGCUCUCAAAGCUUGUGUCCUUCCACUCUGGGCUCCAGAGAGCAGCCUCACAUCUCCACACUAUGAAGAGGACUGUUCUAAUUUGUCCCUCAAACAGUCUCCAUUUUGCCUGGGUUUUUUAAGCCUUUUAAUUGUUUUGUCCUGCUCUGAUUCCUAUUAUGGCACAGUAAAAUUGUGUGCUGUGCAGACCAUGCUUUAUUUAAUUUGUUAUGCAGUUCAGAGAAGUAUAAGAAACUCUUCAAUAACAGAUCCUCAGCAGAUUCUGAAAACCCUCCAUAAACUCUUGACACAGCCAGGCACUAUUUAUUCACAACAUAACACAAAGCAGGACCCUGUCUCCCUGUGGCACAUUGUCAAAAUACGCUCUUCACGCUUUCUGCAGCUGAGAAAAGCCUUGAUGUGUUCUGGUAAUUGCUCUUGCAUCUGUCAGGCAAUGCUAAAUCAGCUCUUCCCUCCUCCUCAUUACUCCUUUGGGUUUACAGAAAGCAGAGAAAAUGCAGCACGCGUCAACAGAGACAGACAGGUUUGGGUGUGUUCAGUUGGUUGGAGGUCAAUGAUCACCCUUCAGUGUCUCACAUAAGCAAAAAUCCCCUUCUUCCCAAAGCAAAGACACAGACUUUGAUCUCAGGAUGUCUCCUGGGACCCAUCCUGCAGAUGUACCUGCAGUUCAGCAGUCACAGCAUUGCUGCCCAGUUAUGCAUUAUAUAUGUUAAUGCCCAGACAGAGUUAACUUAGGCUUUAUAUUAGGUAAUAACCCUUUUGGGAGAACAUACAUUAACUCAAUCAACAGCCUGCACUUCUGCUCAAUUUUCCAGAUCUUGCCACUGCCUGAAAAGAAGCUCUUCCAGCCCUGAAGCAGAGCUAAUAAAGCACUUUCCUCUUCUACAACAUCUUUACAUCCACAUCAGCAUGACAGUGUUUGUGCAGGGCAGCUGUAGCCUAAGUGAAGUUCUCUGUUUUAUCCACUCACUGUCUGGAGCAGGACUCACAGCAAGUUGCCAUUCUGCUCCUCCCAAGGAAGUACCUUGUGCCUCUGGCUCAUCUGGAACACAGCUCAGGCAUCAGCAGUGCUCUUUUGAAGGCUGCCAAGAGGAAGGGACAGGAGGUUUCCUUCAAUCACAGCCUUGAUAGACUCUUCCUUUUCACUAUUCCAAUCACUGUAGAUCUGGUUCACCUCAAGCAAAGCUGCUGUGAAGAUUAGAGUGAUGGUUUUCGCACCAGUGCUUUCCAGCCACUGACAGCAGGCUGAAUCAGUAAAGACACUGGUUCAGCCUUGCAAAGUUGGUAUGCCAGAUCAGCUGUGUUCUUCAUGUCUGAGCAUGGGCAUGAAUGAACAGAGGCUUGCCACGACUUAGCUGCAAGAUACUAACCUAUGACAUUUAAAUGUACAUAGGAAAGGAUGAAGGUGAAAGUAAGGGAUUGCUUGGGAGAUCUGAUUGCAGCCCUUCUGUGAGGAGAUCAUUGAAAAGAAGGAGGCUCCUCUUGGGCUCCAUGGUGGGAAGAUGAAGAAACAAAUGGGCAUCAGUUGAAACACAAGAGAUUCUGAUCAGAUAUGAGGAAAAGCUUUUUACUGUGACAACAGUCAAGCAGUGGGGCAGCUUGCCCAGAGAGGUUGUGCAAACUCCAUCCUUGGGUAUUUUCAAGUCCCAGCUGGAUAAGAUCUUGAGAAAUUUGGUCUGAACCAACCCUGCUUUAAGAUUGGAGAAGAGGCCUCCUGAAAUCCAUUCUAAUCCAAAUUACCAUAUGUUUCCAAUGUGUGUCAUUUCUCUGCAGAGUAGCUUAUCUACAAAGUGGUAGACAACGUGCCUUGAAAGUUUGCUUAACUGAUAAAGAAUGGCACAAAACAGAAUGUGGUCUGUGGUGUGUACAUACUUCCUAUUCAACAUUUUUUUUAGGUCCCUGCUUCAUAUAUACCAAAGGUUACAGAGGAUGUACUAAGCAAACAGGGUGAUUGAAACCGCAAUGUUGAAAUUUAAACCAGCAGGCAAUAAGUGCCUAACACUUGACUCUGAAGAAAUCUACUAAUUUGCCUAAACCAAAUUCAGGAACAAAAGGAUGAACUGUACCAGUGAUUUCUAUUGCAUUUUAAAGAUAACUGCUACAGAAACUGCACAGGAAUUAGUGAUGUUCUAGAACAAUCAAGCCAAAAUUCUCUUAAAUACAAAAGAAAUCUUGCUAAACAAAUCUACAGACUGUUCCUUUUACUUGAUGUUUUAGAUUGACUCAUUUUUCUAUUUUGAUGUGGACAUUUCCAGGAAGGGCUGGGGCCAGGGAGAAAGAAUGAGAAGAAAGAAGCUAGAAAAUCUUUUAGCAGCUUAGGCUGCUAUGGUUAUAUUUGCUAUCUCUGGAAGUAGCAGACCACAGACAGUCUUUUGGCCAUGGUAUGCUCUCUGGCCAGCUAAGCCACAGAGGAGGAGCUGUGACAACCUCCCAGAGCUGUUUGUCUGUGGGCUGGAUGCUUCCCACUUCACAGAAUGUUCCACUCCGUGGGCUCCUCUCUUAGAUUUCUUAGAAAAACUCUUAGACCUGCAGUAUCAUAAAACAAUUAAAGGUUAUACUUUCUCUCUGUUACUAAUGCUUUGUGUGGCAUUAGGUAAUUGCUUAAUUGAGCAUUUCAAAAAGCAUUAAUAUAUUUUUCUCUGCAAAUGCAUUAUUAAUAUAUACAUUACAAUCUCUGCUGUUAAGGCUUUGUACAAUUAUUAAUAGACUUAAAACACUGAACUGCAUGAAAAUAUUUUCUGCUAGGAAAAAGGAACUCAAAAGGACACAAAUCAUACCUGGUCUACCAUCAUUAUAAAUUAAGUAUUUGUAUUGAUACUUCUACAUUCCAACAAUCCUAAGCCUGUUGGCACCAGUUAAAAUGGGAAAUAUGAAUAUUUCUAUUCUGUUUCACAUUAAUUCACAAAGCCAACUUAGACAGCUGAAGAAUAACAAACUGCUUUGCAUCCACCCCUUUAGACCACUGACUUCUCCACCAUACAACGUACUGCUUUUCUCCAGACCAGCACACUACCUAUAACAUCACUCCUUCCAUGCAGAUUGUAUUUAGGAUUGCACUGACAACUUGCAUUCUCCCAGAAAUAAGAAAGACACUACACCUACAAGUGAUAAUUUGUUUUUAAUGUUUCUGGGAAGAACCCAUUAAAGAUUUCAAUGAGAAUUUUUUUUCACAAAAUAGUAGGCAGUGCCAAAAAUCGGUGUGGGCUUAAAUAUAGUACUAAAAGCAGUGAAAGGAAAAACAAAAAGGCAGUGCAAAAGCCCUAUGAAAUUACUUUUUGACCAGAAAUAGUUUGGGGAGAUUAUAAAAGCUGGAUGAUCUGGAGCUGGGAGGUAAAAAUAAUCCUAAAUCUAUAUAAACUGAUAUUGGGUUGGCUGAAAGCUCCAUCCAGCCCAGCAGUUUCAGAGAGAGGUGGAUAAGAUUUGAGUAGGAAGACAGAAAGAACUGGGAAAACACGUUCUGUAGUUCCCCAAAAUGUCUUUCCAGCUCCAGCAACUUACAAGUCAAGAACUUGCUGAGUUAGAUCAAGAGUCUUUGAUGAUUUUCCAGCUGCUUUUUAAGCCCAUGCAAAGGUUUGUUACCCACUAUGUCCUGAAGCAAGGACUUGUGGCUUAACUAUAGACUAAAUGAAGCGCUAUCUCCUCUUGUUUGUUUUGAACCUUCCAAUUUCUUAUUUCAUUUGCUGUAACUCAGUUCCUGUGUCUGAUAAGUCAAUGAACAGUCUGGAUUCCUGGUUCUUAUUUGUUUCUCUGAAGAUUUUAUAUAGACUUUGAUACUAUCUCUCCUUCCCUGCAGACUAAAGAAACCCAGCUGAGUCAACCAUGAUCCCUUUUGAAGCCCUUCUAUUUCUGAUAGUUCUAUUGAUUUUUAUUUAAUCUAUUCCACUUCUACCACACUAUUUUUGAACUAGAACUGCACAGACAAUUAAAGAUGCAGGUGCAAACAGGGACUGAUACAAUGGCACUUUUUAUUUUCUAUUUGUCUCUUAAAUUUUAACAAUAGUCUUAACAUGCCUCAAUUUCCAUUUUGAUCACUGCUGAGCCUUGAGUUGAUGUUCUCACAGAACCACCUUUCACAACCUCAAGGCCUUUUUUCUCACUGGUAAAAACCAGCUAAAAGUUUGUCAGUAUAUAUGUGAAAUUCAGGAUUGUUUUUUUUUCUCAUAUGUCAGUAUUUCAUAUUUAUCAGAUUUAAUUUCAUCUGCCAUUUUGCCACUGACUCUAUUAGUAACAUAAAGUCAUUCACUUUUUCUCAGUUAGCCCUACCCUGAAUAGCUCAUUAUCAGCAGCACAUUUUGUAAAUCACUACUGAUCUCCAUUUCUACCAGUUAUUUGUCCAAGUUUCAUAUCCAUUAGCAGCCUUCUUUUUUGCUUCCUUUGCGGAGGAAUCCUACUGAUUGCAUUUGGAGACCAUCAUAGACAGUUAAAUGAAUCUUUGUGGUCUGUGAGCUUGUUGACUUCUUCAAAGAAAGCUUUCCUGAGACACCAAUUUGCUUUAAAAAAGCCAUAAUGACUUUCCCUAAUGUGUCAUCUUUUCUAUGUGGCCACUAAGUUUUUUAUGUUCUUCAGUAUAAUUUCUACUUAUUUGUCUAUCAAGGAGAUUGGGCUUCCAGGUCUACAGCUUCCACAAUCUUCUCCAAAAUCCUUUAAAAAAUCUGGUAUCACAUGAGCAACUCUCCAGACUCCUCUGAUGACGAAGCAAUUUUGAGUAAGAAGUCAGAGACAGAAGUUAGUACCUGAAUCACUUUGUCUCUGAGCUGCUUGACAACUAGUGGUUGAACACCAUCUGGUCUCAGCAGUUGGCUGCUGCUCACUUGUUAAUGUAUUCCUUCAUCUUUUAUACUUGCACUGUAAUCCAAGACAUGUUUUCCUAAUUAUUCCCCUUAAAGAAGUUUACCAUUAUUGGAGUUUACCCAUGCUCAUCUAUCCCAUUCACAAACACAAAAAUAAAUUCAGCUUUUCUUUUAUGGCUGUAUCUUCCCUAGAUGUUUCUUCUGUAUAUGAAAUAAUCUAUUUGUCUUAUAGAGCUGUCAAACUCCAGCAGGCUCCCUGAUUUGUUCUAGGAAAGACUUGCUAUUAUUGUAACUUUUGCAAGCUGACCCUGAAACUUCCUUCUGUAUCCUUCUCACAAUUUCGUGCUUAACCUGUCAGAGGUUACAAGUCCUUUAUUUUACCCCCUUUACACUUCUGAAAGGUGUGCCUUGUUUUAUACUGCUCCUCUGUUUUUGAAAAGGAAGUAGAAUGCUACUGAUUUUCUUUGUCGUGGUGCUACAAGGGUGUUGAAACCAAGGAUGCUACAGUUCCUGCUACGGCGUGGGUCUUUGUCAAUAACAUGACACUCUUUAAGACCAGGGAUUGCUUUUCCUCUUCUGGCUUCCCAAAGAGCAGCCACAGACACUUUCUAAAAUGUUAGCCCUACCCCCUCCUGUGACAUUUACCCAACUUAAUUUGAGUUAUUGAAGUCACUUAUGAUCGUGUUUUCUGCCUCUCAGGCUCUGAUCUCCCUGCCUUGUUAGCGGGACUGGUGAUGUACUCCCAGUACUUCAUUUUUCCUAUUUAUUUCUGGGACUUCAGUCCACCGAGACCUUAUUUAUUGAUAGAAUUAACUGCUAAUUGGAGAAUCCUCUAAGCUUUCUUUAAAAUGCAGCAUCACUCAUCCACUGUCAUGCUUCAUCCCGCCUCAAAAACACGACAUGUAUCAAAACUAAUUGUUCACUUUUCCUAUCAGCUUUCAAAACAUGAACAUAAGUGCAUAUUUGCUGCAUCUUUGCUGCAGCAGCUUGCAAAGCCUUGUUGUCUCCUGGCCAAAACCCAACAGCUGAAAUAACAGAGCAGGGAAUAUUUUGUUUCUGAUUUGUAUAUGUUUUCUCUUGAAUCAUACAAAAAGUGAUCAAGGAUCUGCCCUGAUUACAACCCAUCAAACUGCUGACAGAAUAGAGAAGCAAUAUCUCAUCCACUGCAGAAAAAAAGAGGUGCAGUUUAACAGGAACUGUGAAGAAACUACCAUUAUAAGGAUAGAAAACAUAUCUGUGUUUAUCAUGUAUAACAUUUGAAAGCAUCUAAACUAUCCUGCUUCAGGACAUGCUCUCAUUCAUCCCUUACAGUGAGGGAACAUUUAUACACCGGUCAGAAAAUAGUGGUUGUUUUCAGAUGUCCUUAUGUGGCAGCUCUUCUGCCUGAACCAUGUAAUUCCUUUUUAAUUCAGAGUGGCACCUCAGAGACAGUUUUAUCGCACCUUCUUUAAGGGCAAGCUUUUCCCCCUGUCUGUCCUGCCAUGGCCUCUGCAGUGUGUUAUGCACUGUACUACCAGCACUAAUAAUUAACAGCUGCUGUGCCUGAAAUUGCUGAUUGUUUUCCAUCAGUCAUCUAGGUUAGGGAACAGUUUAUAGAUGCCAUAGC